CCUGAUCAAAGAUGGAUCUGCAAAUCUCAGUUUUUCUUCUGUUCAUCCUUUUCACUGCAGGACACUCUCUCAGCUGUUAUGAGUGCACGGGUCUGACGGGUUCUUGUGCAAAUCAAAAUGUAAAAACAUGUCCCGGUGGAUUUUCCAAGUGCAUGAGUACAACAACAGCGGUAAAAGUUGGUGACAUCGGUGCUAAAGUGCAGCUUAAAGACUGUGCUGCUGACUGUGUAAGUGGAGCCAUGAACAUCGGCAUUGCAAAGACAUCUUUAGCGUGCUGUAACACAGACCGGUGUAACGUCCAAGACGCUCCAGGUAUCAUGCUUUACUGACCAUAUGCAAAAAAAUGAAUCUUUAAGGUCAACACUCAUUUUACUUCCAAAGGAGAUCAGGAAAUACAAAUUAUACCAUAUAGAGUGCAGCUUGCCAGUUGUGAAUUGAUUGAUUGGAGCAGCUAACAGAGUGUUAUUUCAUUACAUGCUAUAUUUUGCACAGAAGAUAAAACAAUGCAUGUUUUUGUCCUGUAGAUCCCAGCACUAGUGCCCCCAAUGGAAAGACUUGUUACUAUUGUGAUGAGAAGAGCUGCUCAAACAUAUUGAGCUGUUCAGGAAGUGAAGAC
rnacentral:lncRNA from 1 species